AUUGAACGCUGGCGGCAGGCCUAACACAUGCAAGUCGAGCGGAUGAGGGGAGCUUGCUCCUGGAUUCAGCGGCGGACGGGUGAGUAAUGCCUAGGAAUCUGCCUGGUAGUGGGGGAUAACGUCCGGAAACGGGCGCUAAUACCGCAUACGUCCUGAGGGAGAAAGUGGGGGAUCUUCGGACCUCACGCUAUCAGAUGAGCCUAGGUCGGAUUAGCUAGUUGGUGGGGUAAAGGCCCACCAAGGCGACGAUCCGUAACUGGUCUGAGAGGAUGAUCAGUCACACUGGAACUGAGACACGGUCCAGACUCCUACGGGAGGCAGCAGUGGGGAAUAUUGGACAAUGGGCGAAAGCCUGAUCCAGCCAUGCCGCGUGUGUGAAGAAGGUCUUCGGAUUGUAAAGCACUUUAAGUUGGGAGGAAGGGCAGUAAGUUAAUACCUUGCUGUUUUGACGUUACCAACAGAAUAAGCACCGGCUAACUUCGUG
rnacentral:rRNA from 1 species